UUAUUAUGAGAAACAUUUGCCCUGUACAAGAAAAACAAUAUUUAUGUUCAGUUCAAUUUAUACAAUAAUUGCCAUUCAUGUAUAUAUUACAUGUCAUAAUAUUAAAAUAUGUGAGUAUGUAAUGAUAAUUUACCUUUUAACACUUAAAGUACAUGUAGAUCUACUAUAAUCAUAAAAUAUCUUUGAAUUAAGGUUCUUACAGUAAACUUGAUUUAGGGUUGAAUACAAAUUGAAAAUUGUUUUUCAAUUCCCCCUCCCCCCCCCCCCGACUUAUGAAAACUGCUUUGCUUUAAUGGUAGUAUAUAUGUAUUUCCACUGGGGUUAAAUGUUUAGUUUGCCUUCCUCUGACUCUAUCUAUGAAAAAUUGUAAUGUCAGUGCUUGUAUACACCUCUGUAACAGUUCACUUGAAAAUAAUCAUAAACCCCUAACAAACAAAUCCUGCACCCUUGAUACUUGUAAUGUGAAACUGGGGCUAUCUUUACUGGCUUGCUGGAAUGUGUAUAAUCUCUUCUGAUUGGUUGGGAGCCAAAUUUGAACGUGUAAACAUAGAUCCAUGCAGGACCUGAAAUGUUGUUUCAAAGCAAUGUUGGGACUUUUGAAGUUUUAACAAUUUCCUGAAAUACUUUGAUGGACAUUCUUAAACAAUUAAUUAGAAUGUGGAAAUCAACAUUUUGUGUGUUAACAAGUCUCUAAAAGAGGAAUUCAGUGAGUUAUGAAGCGGCCCUUUUGGAAAUGCUUUGAACUGUUAAACAGCGAUUUUCAAAAAAGAUUGUGAAGCAACUUACCCAUGACAACGACCUCAGAAGUGCAGUCACAGAGUAAUGGUGCUGUUAUCACUUAAAAGCAACCAUCAAAAAAGAUUGUGUAGCAACUUUCCCCUGACAACACCCACUGGC